ACAAACCUCCUUCAGUGUUGUAAGAAGAACAAGUACCUUUAAUACAAUACAGGUCUGCUUAUGAAUGUGACUACAAUGUUGUCAAUAAUUAAGGGAGACAAGCAAAUUGAAUUAGGUAUUGUAACUGCAUUCCAGUUGUUUCCCUUGAUCUAUUGAUCUUCUAUUAGCAUAAAUCUGUUAGAGUUUGCUCUUUACCGGUAGGCAAGGCCAGGAUAAUAUCCUUUAAAAGAGAAAUCAACUAGUGUGGAUCAAUCGUGUUUUUAACGGACCUUUUAUACAUUGAUUUUGUAAUGGCUGCGUGACAGCUGAUGACAUGCUAUUGAUCAAUCGGACAGCGAUUUGUGCAGGCAUUGAGCGAACUUCCUUGACAUGUGAUGUUCUGUCUGAGGUUCCUGUGACCUGGCAGCAGUAUUAGUCAUACCUUGAAGAGGAUCUCUUCGCCAGGAAUGUGUGUUGGAAUAACAGAACAUCAUCUUGGAUUUCUUCUUGCUAACAGAUUUUCCAUGAUGUACUCAGGAUACCAGUUUUACCAAAUACUUAGUAACUGCAUACGGUGAACCUGGUCUCUGUUCCUACACUACAGAUGUGAAUUUAAUUAGCACCAAUUCUUAUAUAACAGUAUAUUCAAAUAUUCUGCCAUACCAUGGUGGCUGUCACCUUAUUACAAAAGACAUUAUAAUAAGGAACAAGAAGACAAUAACUUCAAGUGUUCUGUCCCAUCAUGAUGGCUGAAACCUUGUUACAAAAGACAUUAUAACAAGGAAGAAGAAGACACUGGAGCGGUUAAAAAACAUUUAAGACAAUAAAUGGUGCUGAAGACAUAAUGGUGGGACACUUCAGUAGCUCAAAAACAUUCUUGUCUUUGAGAUUCCCACAGUGUGAGUGGGCAAUGACAGAGGUACUUGGCAUGAUAACCCUCGGUGCCGUCGUUUGAUAUAUCGUGCAGAGAGCAAUAGGUUAUUGCCUGGUGGUGAUGUCCCCACAAUGGCUUCCCUCUGGUUAGCUGUGGGUGUAAGUGCUAGUCGCAGAUCCAUUAUUUAUUUAAGGAUAUGUCAAUCCAAGAUUUAAUAAUAAUUUUAUGUACCAGACAUAUGUUUCAAAUACACUCUUCUUUAAUUUGUGUGCAGCUGGAUGUUUUAAAUGAUUGAAACAGAAUCAAUGAACACUGAAAGCGAGGAAAAGAAUUCUGCUGGGCAUUGUUGGUGGAAACUGCACCAAAAUGUGCAUCAGUGUUGCAGCUGGUGUUGAAUGCAGUCUGUGAACUUGGUGUUCACAACAUUAUAAGGAUUUUAACGCGUAUCCAUAACAACUUGGCGUCGGGUAAUACCAGACUGAUCUCUAUUAACGAAAAUGGAAACAAUUUCAUUCAACUCACAACGGUUUGCGUCUGUAAUAGAGAACAUAAACAGAGAACUACAAGAGAAAGGUGAGAUCAUUGUUGACCCUACGUUCGCACUUCUGUGGAUCGUUUAAUAUUGUAUGCAUUUUAUUUAUUUAUUUAUUUAUUUAUUGUUGUUGAAAUUCUGUUGUAUCUGUUGUGAAAUAAACUUUUUAGAUCCUUC